UACGGGGGGGGCAAGCGUUGUUCGGAAUUACUGGGCGUAAAGGGCUUGUAGGCGGCCAACUAAGUCAUACGUGAAAUCCCUCGGCUUAACCGGGGAACUGCGUCUGAUACUGGAUGGCUUGAGAUUGGGAGAGGGAUGCGGAAUUCCAGGUGUAGCGGUGAAAUGCGUAGAUAUCUGGAGGAACACCGGUGGCGAAGGCGGCAUUCUGGACCGAUAUUGACGCUGAGGAGCGAAAGCCAGGGGAGCAAACGGG
rnacentral:rRNA from 1 species